rnacentral:rRNA from 1 species
UACGUAGGGGGCUAGCGUUGUCCGGAAUCAUUGGGCGUAAAGCGCGUGUAGGCGGUCCGUUAAGUCCGCUGUGAAAGUCGGGGGCUCAACCCUCGGAUGCCGGUGGAUACUGUCGGGCUUGAGUACGGAAGAGGCGAGUGGAAUUCCUGGUGUAGCGGUGAAAUGCGCAGAUAUCAGGAGGAACACCAAUUGCGAAGGCAGCUCGCUGGGACGUUACUGACGCUGAGACGCGAAAGCGUGGGGAGCAAACAGG